rnacentral:rRNA from 1 species
UACGGAGGAUGCAAGCGUUAUCCGGAAUGAUUGGGCGUAAAGCGUCCGCAGGUGGCUAUGUAAGUCUGCUGUUAAAGAGUGAGGCUCAACCUCAUAAGAGCAGUGGAAACUACAUGGCUAGAGUGCGUUCGGGGUAGAGGGAAUUCCUGGUGUAGCGGUGAAAUGCGUAGAGAUCAGGAAGAACACCGGUGGCGAAAGCGCUCUGCUAGGCCGCAACUGACACUGAGGGACGAAAGCUAGGGGAGCGAAUGGG